AGCAUUUGCCAAAUGUGUUUUCAUCAAUCAAGAACGAAAGUUAGAGGUUCGAAGGCGAUCAGAUACCGCCCUAGUUCUAACCAUAAACGAUGCCAGCUAGCGAUCCGCCGAAGUUCCUCCGAUGACUCGGCGGGCAGCUUCCGGGAAACCAAAGCUUUUGGGUUCCGGGGGAAGUAUGGUUGCAAAGCUGAAACUUAAAGGAAUUGACGGAAGGGCACCACCAGGAGUGGAGCCUGCGGCUUAAUUUGACUCAACACGGGGAACCUCACCAGGCCCGGACACCGGAAGGAUUGACAGAUUGAGAGCUCUUUCUUGAUUCGGUGGGUGGUGGUGCAUGGCCGUUCUUAGUUGGUGGAGCGAUUUGUCUGGUUAAUUCCGAUAACGAACGAGACUCUAGCCUGCUAAAUAGGCGUAUUUCCGGUAUCUCGAAGGCCCGCCGGCCCGGUUUCGGCCGCGGUUGUGCGUGGUUUUUACUACCGGCGUACACAUAUAUCUUCUUAGAGGGACAGGUGGCAUUUAGUCGCACGAGAUUGAGCAAUAACAGGUCUGUGAUGCCCUCAGAUGUUCUGGGCCGCACGCGCGCUACACUGAAGGGAUCAGCAGGUUUUCCUUGUCCGAAAGGUCCGGGUAAUCCGUUGAAGCCCCUUCGUGCUAGGGAUUGGGGCUUGCAAUUCUUCCCCAUGAACGAGGAAUUCCCAGUAAGCGCGAGUCAUAAGCUUGCGUUGAUUACGUCCCUGCCCUUUGUACACACCGCCCGUCGCUACUACCGAUUGAAUGAUUUAGUGAGGUCUUCGGCCCGGUGCGCGGCAGCGUUUCGACAUUGCCGAUGUUGCUGGAAAGAUGCCCAAAUUUGAUUGUUUAGAGGAAGUAAAAGUCGUAACAAGGUUUCCGUAGGUG
rnacentral:rRNA from 1 species